rnacentral:lncRNA from 1 species
AUGUCGACACUGCCAGAUUCGUCACCGACAAAAAAUCGCUGCUGGAGGCUGAGGGGGUUCAAGAUAACAACAGCCCCCUUUAAGGUGUCCGUCUCAGAUUCCAAGUCACACUACAGUCUCAGAAUUCUGCCUUGCCACCUCAACGUCACCCUGAUAAAAUACCAUCUCAAAACCAAAGUCACCUUCCUAUCUACCUCACCUGGGUCCUUAAAUAUAAUAGUGCCAUGUCUCCUAAUAACAUUAUGUCUCUUUGUUUUUCCAGUCUGACAUACAUACAUUCACCAGUGAAGUUGUCCUGGCUAAAACACCUGGCAUCAGUGUCUACCUGGGCAUCAACCUUCAUCCUGUCAAACUCCCCUAGACCCCAAUACAGCGCCCUCAGCCAGCAGGAAGUAGUUACAGAGAGAGAUCUUCGCCCCUUUUCCUAAUAACCAGAAGACGGGAUAUGAAAGAGUUGCCGGCCCAGAUAAAACACUGUAACCAGAAAAGGCUGCACCUAAACUCCUCCCCCACCCUGCCCCCUAUGGACUUGAUUGUAAUUCUGUAUCCCCAUCCUUAAGGACCUGUGCGCCAAUGAGAUAUCUGUGCAUCUCUAAUGAAGUUAGGGUGCUGCCCUAAGCUUAGGCUAUUUAGAUCUCCCACGCCACGUGUCUGAGAGAGUUCGCCGGGGAGUUUUGCCAGAGGGAGUUCGCCAGAAAGAGAGAGCUCGCCAGACUCCAGCGCGCCAGUCUCCACUCCGGCCGGCGACGGGGGCCCCCUCCCCGCAUUCCCAGAAUAAAGCCACCGCUGACCACUACUUUUACCGCCCGGCGGCGGGGGCCCCCUCCCCGCAUUCCCAGAAUAAAGCCACCGCUGACCACUACUUUUACGGCCGUCCACUCCGCUCCAUUCCUCCCGCAGACUUCUCCUUGCCCUCCCCCUUCUCCCAGACCUAACAAAUACAAUUCACAGUGAUUAUAGUGGUGGCAAUAUCUAAAAUUAUAUACAACAGUCAUUAUAAGUGUAAAAUAAU